UUUCUACACAAAGCAGCGGGGGCAGGAUGCACUCUCAAAGGGAAGGCAAGGGACAAACAAAGAAAGGCCUUUGCCUUGUCAUCCAUGUGAAGCAAGCCCAGACGGAUUGGUCUUGUGUAGUGAGCUAUCAUCUCUCGACUCAGCUUCACUGUGUGGGAUCCUGUGUUAUUGCUGAGGACCAAGGACAGGCUCUGCGCAGAUGCCUCUGAAGGAAGAAUUAAAAACCAUCACACGCUUAGUGAGGCUAAAUGAGUAUUCAAAUUGGCUAAUAAAAAAGUAAUGAGGAAUGCCUGCAGCCCUGAGCCACCUAAAGAAAAUCAACAAAUGCCAGCUACAAUGCAAACACUUUCCACGAUGGUGAGAGCUUCAAUUCCACAUUGGAUGCUGAAAUACAUAAAGCUGGUGAAAUGUGUGCUACUCGAGGGAAAACAUCGCUGUGCACAGCGCUGGAAUAGUCUGCUGAGCCUCCACCUCCCUCGGCCAUCCCGGUGGGAUGAAGGAGAGGAGGAGGCAGCGGCAGAUAGGUGUCUCUCAGGAGUGUGUGAAGAGAACUAUAUUAGCGAUUGUGAAACGCUGAGGUACCCUAGGGACCAUAUAAGUAUCUAUGACAAGACAGAAAGAAUAAUUAGCUCGACAGCUGUGGGUACCGAUCACGAGCAUUUUUUAACAGUAUCCUGUCAUGUUUUGGUCUAUUACUACAGUCCGAUGAGGUAUGAUGCCAUUUUUCCUGCUGAUGGCUUCCCUUCCAGGAAGCAUCAAUGUGCACAUACCUUUCAGUAGGUAUCUUGAGGGCCCAUGGCACAUUCUGUCCCUCAUUUAAAACUCAAGGCACCUUUUAAAAAAUGACAAGCCAAAGAACUUGAGCCUAACAGACCGGUGGGAAUAAAGACUGACUCUGCGGGUGCCA
rnacentral:lncRNA from 1 species